rnacentral:rRNA from 1 species
AUAACGGUCCUAAGGUAGCGAAAUUCCUUGUCAGGUAAGUUCUGACCCGCACGAAUGGCGUAACGAUUUGGGCGCUGUCUCAACAGCCCACCCGGCGAAAUUGUAGUACUGGUGAAGAUGCCAGUUACCCGCAACUAGACGGAAAGACCCCAUGGAGCUUUACUGUAGCUUAAUACUGAGGAUUGGUAAUUGAUGUACAGGAUAGGUGGGAGACAUGGAAACAUUGGCGUCAGCCAGUGCGGAGUCACCCUUGGGAUACCACCCUUCAAUUGCUGGUUUUCUAACCUGCGGCCGUGAAUCCGGUCGGGGGACACUGUUAGGUGGGCAGUUUGACUGGGGCGGUCGCCUCCAAAAAGGUAACGGAGGCGCUCAAAGGUUCGUUCAGCACGGACGGAAAUCGUGCAGUGAGUGUAAACGCAGAAACGAGCCUAACUGCGACACCGACGGGUGGAGCAGUAACGAAAGUUGGAGUUAGUGAUCCGGCGGUAUGUGCGUGGAAAUGCCGUCGCUCAACGGAUAAAAGCUACCCUGGGGAUAACAGGCUGAUCUCCCCCAAGAGUCCACAUCGACGGGGAGGUUUGGCACCUCGAUGUCGGCUCAUCGCAUCCUGGGGCUGAAGUAGGUCCCAAGGGUUGGGCUGUUCGCCCAUUAAAGCGGUACGCGAGCUGGGUUCAGAACGUCGUGAGACAGUUCGGUCCCUAUCUGUCGUGGGCGCAGGAUAUUUGAGGAGCUCUGUCCUUAGUACGAGAGGACCGGGAUGGACGCACCGCUGGUGCACCAGUUGUCACGCCAGUGGCACAGCUGGGCAGCUAAGUGCGGAUCGGAUAAACGCUGAAAGCAUCUAAGCGUGAAGCCGGCUCCAAGAUAAGAUAUCCCAUUCCGUAAGGAAGUAAGACCCCUUGAAGACUACAAGGUUGAUAGGCUGCGUGUGUAAGCGCCGCGAGGCGUUCAGCUUGGCAGUACUAAUAGGUCGAGGGCUUGACCUU